GGUGCUGGCUAGGGGAGUAGAACACCUGUUUAGAUGAGGUGCUGGCUAGCGGAGUAGAACACCUGUUUAGGAGAGGUGCUGGCUAGCAGAGUAGAACACCUGGUUAGGAGAGGUGCUGGCUAGGGGAGUAGAACACCUGUUUAGGAGAGGUGCUGGCUAGCAGAGUAGAACACCUGUUUAGGAGAGGUGCUGGCUAGGGGAGGAGAACACCUGUUUAGGAGAGGUGCUGGCUAGCAGAGUAGAACACCUGUUUAGGAGAGGUGCUGGCUAGCGGAGUAGAACACCUGUAUAGGAGAGGUGCUGGCUAGUGGAGUAGAACACCUGUUUAGGAGAGGUGCUGGCUAGGGGAGGAGAACACCUGUUUAGGAGAGGUGCUGGCUAGGGGAGUAGAACACCUGUUUAGGAGAGGUGCUGGCUAGCAGAGUAGAACACCUGUUUAGGAGAGGUGCUGGCUAGGGGAGUAGAACACCUGUUUAGGAGAGGUGCUGGCUAGCAGAGUAGAACACCUGUUUAGGAGAGGUGCUGGCUAGGGGAGUAGAACACCUGUUUAGGAGAGGUGCUGGCUAGGGGAGUAGAACACCUGUUUAGGAGAGGUGCUGGCUAGGGGAGUAGAACACCUGUUUAGGAGAGGUGCUGGCUAGGGGAGUAGAACACCUGUUUAGGAGAGGUGCUGGCUAGGGGAGUAGAACACCUGUUUAGGAGAGGUGCUGGCUAGGGGAGUAGAACACCUGUUUAGGAGAGGUGCUGGCUAGCGGAGUAGAACACCUGUUUAGGAGAGGUGCUGGCUAGGGGAGUAGAACACCUGUUUAGGAGAGGUGCUGGCUAGCGGAGUAGAACACCUGUUUAGGAGAGGUGCUGGCUAGCGGAGUAGAACACCUGUUUAGGAGAGGUGCUGGCUAGCGGAGUAGAACACCUGUUUAGGAGAGGUGCUGGCUAGCGGAGUAGAACACCUGUUUAGGAGAGGUGCUGGCUAGCAGAGUAGAACACCUGUUUAGGAGAGGUGCUGGCUAGGGGAGUAGAACACCUGUUUAGGAGAGGUGCUGGCUAGCAGAGUAGAACACCUGUUUAGGAGAGGUGCUGGCUAGGGGAGUAGAACACCUGUUUAGGAGAGGUGCUGGCUAGCAGAGUAGAACACCUGUUUAGGAGAGGUGCUGGCUAGGGGAGGAGAACACCUGUUUAGGAGAGGUGCUGGCUAGGGGAGUAGAACACCUGUUUAGGAGAGGUGCUGGCUAGCGGAGUAGAACACCUGUUUAGGAGAGGUGCUGGCUAGCGGAGUAGAACACCUGUUUAGGAGAGGUGCUGGCUAGCGGAGUAGAACACCUGUUUAGGAGAGGUGCUGGCUAGCAGAGUAGAACACCUGUUUAGGAGAGGUGCUGGCUAGCAGAGUAGAACACCUGUUUAGGAGAGGUGCUGG